rnacentral:tRNA from 1 species
AGCGAGGUGGGGUAGUCAGGAAAUCCCGGCGGGCUCAUAACCCGUAGAUCGAUGGUUCAAAUCCAUUCCUCGCUA